UGCCAGCAGCCGCGGUAAUACUGGAGGUGCAAGCGUUAAUCGGAAUCACUGGGCGUAAAGCGCUCGUAGGUGGCUCAUUAAGUCACAUGUGAAAUCCCCGGGCUUAACCUGGGAACUGCAUGUGAUACUGGUGGUGCUAGAAUAUGUGAGAGGGAAGUAGAAUUCCAGGUGUAGCGGUGAAAUGCGUAGAGAUCUGGAGGAAUACCGAUGGCGAAGGCAGCUUCCUGGCAUAAUAUUGACACUGAGAUUCGAAAGCGUGGGUAGCAAACAGGAUUAGAUA
rnacentral:rRNA from 1 species